rnacentral:RNase_P_RNA from 1 species
UAUGCAAUGAGUUUAAGCUCAAAACAUCCUGCAAAUAUACAUACACAAAAUGAAAGAAAGAAAUAAAAAAGAAAAAAGAAAAAAUGGAAAAAUAGGUCACAUAUUUGUAUGUUUCUUGUUUUUCCAUUUUUUUUUUUUUUUUUUUUUUUUCUUUUUUUUUUCCUUUUUUUUUUUUUUUUUUUUUUUCCUUUUUCUUUCUCCUAAUUUGUGUAAUUUUUAUAAAAACAGGAAGGAAGGUCUGAGAUGCUGCAUUUAAAGAAUAGAAAAGAAAAGUCAAUGAAUUUUAAUUUUUUUUUUUUUUUUUUUUAUAAUUCUUAUGAAUUAAAAAGAAAGAAAAAAAAAGUUAUAACAUUCGUUGUUACUUUUUAUUUCACAUAUAUAUAUAUAUAUAUAUUCUUUAAUAAAAUUUUUGAGAGAAAAUGUAUUGAACAAAUAUUAAUUAGUUACCAGAAAUAUCAAUCAUAUAUUUAAAAUUUCGUAAGAAGUUUUGUGUAUGGUUUUGAAAAAGCUAAUAAGCAAGUAUACAUUGGUGAGUUCGAUUUUUGAGGUUUUUCUUUAUUCCUACAUCUCAUAUAUCAAUAUUUUUUUUAUAAUUAUAUAUUAUACGAGGUGAUAAUAAGAAAAAUAACUUAAUUCAGACUACUCCUAAAUUCAUUGCUGCAA